rnacentral:rRNA from 1 species
UACGUAGGGUGCAAGCGUUGUCCGGAAUUAUUGGGCGUAAAGAGCUCGUAGGCGGUUUGUCGCGUCUGCUGUGAAAACUCGGGGCUCAACCCCGAGCUUGCAGUGGGUACGGGCAGACUAGAGUGCGGUAGGGGAGACUGGAAUUCCUGGUGUAGCGGUGGAAUGCGCAGAUAUCAGGAGGAACACCGGUGGCGAAGGCGAGGUGCUGGACCCUUUCUGACGCUGAUGCGCGAAAGCCAGGGGAGCAAACGGG